rnacentral:lncRNA from 1 species
GACUGCUCACCGCCUAACACAAGUAGCGCCAGAGGCAAGGAGGCGGGCAGAGCCCCAGGGCGGCGGCGGAGUGCAGACCCGGAAACAAGGCCCUCGGCUGGGCUGCGGCACUGUGGCCAGGGCUGCUGAGCCGACAAGGCUGAGGGGUAACAGGUUAAAUUAAGGAGCACUUUACAGAAUGAAAGGAAACGCAGACUGAACCACAGCUGGACACACCACACACCUCGGGAGUCAGGCAAAUGAAAAGUCAAGCGAUCAUUAACCCCAAGGAAAUAAAAACGUCUGUACAAGGAAAGAGAUCGAAUUGUGUGCGGUCCACCGUUCAGCUCAGCAAGGCACAACAACCACCCGAAGACCCCGACAGGGAUUUAACCACAACUGUGCGUCACCUAAACCAGAGAGAGUACAAGAAAACUGAAACCUCUGCGGGAGCCAGCAGAUUACCCAUAAAAUUGGUGAAAAAAGAUAAGACAACACAAGCGUAUUGCUUAGUAACCCAAAGUGAAAGUGAAAGCCGCUCAGUCCUGUCGACUCUGCGAACCAGAAUUCUCCAGGCCAGGGAAUGGGUGGCCAUUUCCUUCUCCAGAGGAUCUUCCCAACCCAGGGACUGAACCCAAGCCUCCCACAGGCAGACUGUUCACCAGCCGAGCCACCAGGGAAACCCCAUUAGGCAAAUGCCGCGGAGAGUCGAGGGGCCGCCGCCUCGAGAGGGGACGCAGCUUCUCUGCCACCUUCAGGCACUACCUGACUUUCAACCAUGCACGUGUGCACCUCUCUUAAAAAACACAAGAGAAGAGACUCGCAGCAGCCACCCUGCUAGAAACGCAGAGGAAUUUCCUGGGAAGGCCCUCCUGCUGAAAGGCAGCAUCUUGCUGGGUCAAAAGCCUGAGGUGACCCUGAACACACACUAAACCGAAGGAGCACCCACUCAGUAAUCCACAGAACGGAAGACAAAUUCCAAAAGCGCGUUUCAAAAUCCACAAAACGGGGGGCCUCUCUCCAGUGUGAAAAAGUGGCCUUUUUCCAGGUCGAGGAAAGAAGAAAAAGUAAGCAUGCAGGCAGAUAAAUUCCAAAUGCCCACCUUCCGGCGUAAUCAUCUGGCCGUUAGAGAACCCUGACACAGUGCCCAUUUCCCUGAGUUAGUGGCGACACCUGACCCCAUGCCUAGCCACUGUCCAGCCGUCCCUCCCACCUCCACAAGAAGCACUGAGGACCACCCACCGAAGCCGAGCUUUCAUCAGCUUAAAGUGACCACCACAGACACAGCCCACGGGGCUCUGCAGCCACCACUGCACCCGUCUUCUGCACAAGCUCUGUGCCCUGGGGCUUCACCGUGCCUGUUCCCUACUGUGCCAAUGGGCAUGUAACUGUACCCACCUCAAAGACGACUGUCAGACUUCAGUGAGGGAAUGCGGGCAGCUAAGGCAGGGCUGGACACCGGUAAGGGCCCAGGGAACACAGGCUUGCCGCUGCCACUGGCGCAGGCAAGCCCUCUAGUCAAGGCUGCCUGCGGAACCAGUGGCGUCUGGGCCAACGUGUUCAUCAAUUAUUAAUUAAAACCCUACUAUGUGCCAGACACCAAACGAGGGCUUACUGGACAACCGGCUGGGCCAAGCCACCCAAUCGCCCCAAACCUCGCUUCCCAUGCCAGUUAGAGGGGAAACGGCAGCACCAGCUGCACAGAGCAGAGAAGCGGGAGAGGACUCACCUAAGGGCCUGCAGUGCCUGGGACCCAGAGGACGCUCAAGCGGCACCGCGAUCACUGCUCCUCUGUCUCCUGCAAGCGACUGGCGGCUAUCUAAUUCACCUUUUCCGUUUUGCUCAGCCUAACACACUCCUUGAGUGCUGCAGGUGCUAACAGACACUCUUCACGUUGAACUCAAGAACUUUCUCGCACGUUCUCAGGUUACUUACAUCCACACCCACCAAAAAUGCGAGAGAGAAAUAAAGAAACGUUAAAAGACUGUGCAUUACCUGGACAGAAGUACAGGUCCUACACACCAGAUCACUGUAACAGGGUCUCCUCACACACCUUGGCUUCCUGAUCUUUACAAGUCCCCGCGGUUCUUACUACACAGAAAACCUGGAGUAAUUCCACAGAAAAACUGCUGGGUCAUCACUUUCUUCCCAACUGGUCCCUCGUGUCAGCCCGGAUAGCGCCGUUCCUGCCUUUCCCCAAGGCACACCGCCUCCCGCCGGCUUCUCCCUUCUGCGGGAAGCUAGUGGCCCAUCUUAGAGUUUGCUUUCUCUGCUGCCACGAGCCAGGGAAAACUAUUCCCGAGAGCGAGCAAACGGGAGGCCAGAAACAUUAACAAAGGGAGGGCAACUUUUUACAUCCAAAGCCCGCGUGAGCGGUUUGCCUGGAAAUACACCGAAGUCGUGCGACCGUACUCCUGACAGCCACGGAGCCGGCAGCUUUGUCCGGGGAGAAGAGCGCCGGCCCCGGCCAACUUUUCCUUCAAGACCCAGCCAUCCUCCCCGGAACAAAGUGAAAGGUCAGCGGGCGCAGGAGCGGCGCCGGGAGCGCACGGCUUCGCGUCGCCCGCGCCGCCAACUUGGCGGGCUCGCCCCACUUUCCCUUUUGUCCUCCGCCCCUCCCGCGGAGCUCCCGGUCGCGGCCCGAGGCCCGGGGUCGCGGCGCGCCGGGCGGCGGCCCUCCCC